rnacentral:lncRNA from 1 species
GAUUGACAACUGGAGAGAUCCAUCCGUCGUAUUACGAUUAUUUCAUCGUAAUUAUUAAAGAAAUCAUUGUAAAUAAGAAGAUUCUACCUAGUAAAAACAUAUAAAAGAUGACACAAGUUACGCGCAUGUUUCUACAUAACCUACAGCUUCGGAAUGAUAAUAUAGCCCUGCCUAACUAUGCAAGAACAAAACCCUACAAUGCUAGCAAGUCAAACUGCCUAUCGUCCUACAGCCCUAGCCCUAGCCAUACCUACACAGAAAAUAUAUAAAUAGAUACAUAGGGCGGGAUACCUGCACCAUGAGACCUAAGGCAACAGGCGGAUAGUGGAAAGGAGAAGGUGCAGGAAGGAUUUUCUUACUGCCAAUCACACAGACUCAUGUGACUGUGGUUAGGCUAAAGGUGUCUUGGCCACAGUAAGAGGAUACUAAAAGUGACACAUAGAACAUAAUAUAAGCAUGCACAGUGAGAUAAAACAAAAAUGACAUGGACAUACACAGUGAAACUAAAGUGAAAUAAUAAUAAAUAAAACAAGCAGAAUAUGACAACUGUACUUAUUAUAAUAUAAAUUAAUAUUAGAAUGUUGAUGAUAA